UGGGGAAUAUUGCACAAUGGGCGCAAGCCUGAUGCAGCCAUGCCGCGUGUAUGAAGAAGGCCUUCGGGUUGUAAAGUACUUUCAGCGGGGAGGAAGGCGAUAAGGUUAAUAACCUUGUCGAUUGACGUUACCCGCAGAAGAAGCACCGGCUAACUCCGUGCCAGCAGCCGCGGUAAUACGGAGGGUGCAAGCGUUAAUAGGAAUUACUGGGCGUAAAGCGCACGCAGGCGGUCUGUCAAGUCGGAUGUGAAAUCCCCGGGCUCAACCUGGGAACUGCAUUCGAAACUGGCAGGCUAGAGUCUUGUAGAGGGGGGUAGAAUUCCAGGUGUAGCGGUGAAAUGCGUAGAGAUCUGGAGGAAUACCGGUGGCGAAGGC
rnacentral:rRNA from 1 species